rnacentral:rRNA from 1 species
UACGUAGGGUGCGAGCGUUGCCCGGAUUUAUUGGGCGUAAAGGGCGCGUAGGCGGCCGGGUUGGUCGUGGGUGAAAUCCCCCAGCUUAACUGGGGAACUGCCUACGAUACUGCCUGGCUCGAGGGAGGAAGGGGCGGUCGGAACUGUCGGUGGAGCGGUGAAAUGCGUUGAUAUCGACAGGAACGCCGGUGGCGAAAGCGGACCGCUGGCCCUCUUCUGACGCUGAGGCGCGAAAGCCAGGGGAGCGAACGGG